rnacentral:rRNA from 1 species
CCCUUAGAUGUCCUGGGCCGCACGCGCGCUACACUGAUGCAUUCAACGAGUUUUACCUUGGCCGAGAGGCCUGGGCAAUCUUUUAAACCUGCAUCGUGAUAGGGAUAGAUUAUUGCAAUUAUUAAUCUUGAACGAGGAAUUCCUAGUAAACGCAAAUCAUCAAUUUGCAUUGAUUACGUCCCUGCCCUUUGUACACGCCGCCCGUCGCACCUACCGAUUGAAUGGUCCGGUGAAGCCUCGGGAUUGUGGCCAGUUCACUUUAUUGGGAGUUGGCUGUGAGAACUUGUCUAAACCUUAUCAUUUAGAGGAAGGUGAAGUCGUAACA